GGGGUCUUCGGCAGCACAUAUACUAAAAUUGGAAUGAUAUAGAGAUUACCAUGGCCCCUGCACAAGGAUGACACGCAAAUUCGUGAAGCGUUCCCUAUUUUU